rnacentral:rRNA from 1 species
AUUGAACGCUGGCGGCAGGCCUAACACAUGCAAGUCGAGCGAGCGGCGGACGGGUGAGUAAUGUAUGGGAAACUGCCUGAUGGAGGGGGAUAACUACUGGAAAAGGUAGCGAAUACCGCAUACCAUCGGAUUUGCCCAGAUGGGAUUCGCUAGUAGGUGGGGUAAAGGCUCACUUAGGGGACGAUCCCUAGCUGGUCUGAGAGGAUGACCAGCCACACUGGAACUGAGACACGGUCCAGACUCCUACGGGAGGCAGCAGUGGGGAAUAUUGCACAAUGGGCGCAAGCCUGAUGCAGCCAUGCCGCGUGUAUGAAGAAGGCCUUCGGGUUGUAAAGUACUUUCAGCGGGGAGGCGUUACCCGCAGAAGAAGCACCGGCUAACUCCGUGCCAGCAGCCGCGGUAAUUC